GAUGAACGCUGACAGAAUGCUUAACACAUGCAAGUCUUUGGCGAAGCUGUGCUUGCACCGCCUAGCCAAGGCGGACGGGUGAGUAACGCGUAAGGAACUUGCCCUGCAGUCAGGGAUAACAGACGGAAACGACUGAUAAGACCUGGUAAAGUCAGGCGGACUCAUGUCCAGCCUGAUGAAAAGAGAUGCUGCAGGAGAGCCUUGCGUCCUAUUAGCUUGUUGGUGGGGUAACGGCCCACCAAGGCGAUGAGAGGGAGCCGGCCUGAGAGGGUGGACGGCCACAAGGGGACUGAGAUACGGCCCUUACUCCUACGGGAGGCAGCAGGGGGGAAUAUUGGACAAUGGGGGCAACCCUGAUCCAGCAAUUCUGUGUGCACGAUGAAGGUUUUCGGAUUGUAAAGUGCUUUCAGCAGGGAAGAAAAAAAUGACGGUACCUGCAGAAGAAGCGACGGCUAAAUACGUG
rnacentral:rRNA from 1 species